rnacentral:rRNA from 1 species
GUGGGGAAUUUUGGACAAUGGGCGCAAGCCUGAUCCAGCCAUUCCGCGUGCAGGAUGAAGGCCUUCGGGUUGUAAACUGCUUUUGUACGGAACGAAAAGCCUCUGGUUAAUACCCGGGGGUCAUGACGGUACCGUAAGAAUAAGCACCGGCUAACUACGUGCCAGCAGCCGCGGUAAUACGUAGGGUGCGAGCGUUAAUAGGAAUUACUGGGCGUAAAGCGUGCGCAGGCGGUGAUGUAAGACAGUUGUGAAAUCCCCGGGCUCAACCUGGGAACUGCAUCUGUGACUGCAUUGCUGGAGUGCGGCAGAGGGGGAUGGAAUUCCGCGUGUAGCAGUGAAAUGCGUAGAUAUGCGGAGGAACACCGAUGGCGAAGGCAAUCCCCUGGGCCUGCACUGACGCUCAUGCACGAAAGCGUGGGGAGCAAACAGGAUUAGAAACCCUAGUAGUCC